GGGGCUCUAGCUCAGUGGUAGAGCGCUCCCUUAGCAUUUCCUUGCGUGGGAGAGGUAACGUGUUCGAUUCAUGUGUGCUCCA